AACGUAGUCGGCCUACAUGAGGAAAAGAAAGUGACGACAUAUGUAUGCUGCUAACUUUCUACUGUUUUUUAAACGACUUCCAAUUCUUUUUUGAGUGAUGGGUUAAGCAUUAUGAUCACGAAGAAGGAUGUCUGUCUGAAGGACCACCGGUGCCACAAGAAGACAAGGACGGAAGGAGUGAUUGUGUGACCAGUCUUUUUCUUCUAGGACUCUUGGAUGUUCAUUGUUUCCGCGCACAAGGAGCCAUGAGAAUGUCACACAGCUGUUUCUAGUUUAUGGAUUGAGGGAAGGAAAAUACAGGUGUAGUUACAGAUGAGCUGAUACAAGGACUGGGUGUUCAUAUACGAC